rnacentral:lncRNA from 1 species
AGUGAUUGUAUUUCCCGCGGAUACUUAUCCCGUGAUCUAUAUAACUAUUUAUUAUCAUUUUUACACAUCAUCAAUUACGUUUUACUUCCUUCUUCGGAUAUUUUUUUUGUUUAUUUAUAUCUAUACGCCAAUACAUGUACAUGGAAUGGCCAGUAAGCUCAACUGACAUUUUGUUUUGACAUCAAUAGAUGCGACAAAGCAAAAGGUAAGGUCAUAACCUUUGACAAGAUAUUGCAUUCGAAACUGCUAUUUUUCUCUUCAAACUAACAGUACGAAAUAAACAGAACACCAACAUUUUAUCUACAAUCAAAAUUUACUUUUACUUUUUAAUUGACACGAAGUAAAGGAACACGUGACUAAGAAAAGAAGCUAUAAAACAGUAAGUUGAAGAAAGAUAAACAAAACGAACAUCAAACAAGACGAAGUAUAAUCAGCGAUACAGAAAACCACCAAAAAUGUGGAUCAAUUCACAUGCUUCAGAAGGGG